rnacentral:rRNA from 1 species
AUUGAACGCUGGCGGCAGGCCUAACACAUGCAAGUCGAACGAGUGGCGGACGGGUGAGUAAUGUCUGGGAAACUGCCUGAUGGAGGGGGAUAACUACUGGAAACGGUAGCUAAUACCGCAUACCAUCGGAUGUGCCCAGAUGGGAUUAGCUAGUAGGUGGGGUAACGGCUCACCUAGGCGACGAUCCCUAGCUGGUCUGAGAGGAUGACCAGCCAAACUGGAACGAAGACACGGUCCAGACUCGUACGGGGGGAAGCAGUGGGGAAUAUGGAACAAUGGGCGCAAGCCGGAUGCAGCCAUGCCGGGUGUAUGAAGAAGGCCUUCGGGUUGUAAAGUACUUUCAGCGGGGAGGCGUUACCCGAAGAAGAAGCACCGGCUAACUCCGUGCCAGCAGCCGCGGUAAAC